AGAGUUUGAUCCUGGCUCAGGACGAACGCUGGCGGCGUGCUUAACACAUGCAAGUCGAACGGUAAGGGCCUUUCGGGGGUACACGAGUGGCGAACGGGUGAGUAACACGUGGGUGACCUGCCCUGUACUUCGGGAUAAGCCUGGGAAACUGGGUCUAAUACCGGAUAUGACCUUCUCCUGCAUGGGGGUUGGUGGAAAGUUUUUGCGGUACAGGAUGGGCCCGCGGCCUAUCAGCUUGUUGGUGGGGUAAUGGCCUACCAAGGCGACGACGGGUAGCCGGCCUGAGAGGGCGACCGGCCACACUGGGACUGAGACACGGCCCAGACUCUACGGGAGGCAGCAGUGGGGAAUAUUGCACAAUGGGCGAAAGCCUGAUGCAGCGACGCCGCGUGAGGGAUGACGGCUUCGGGCUUGUAAACCUCUUUCAGUAGGGACGAAGCGCAAGUGACGGUACCUACAGAAGAAGCACCGGCCAAUACGUGCCAGCAGCCGCGGUAAUACGUAGGGUGCGAGCGUUGUCCGGAUUUACUGGGCGUAAAGAGCUCGUAGGCGGUUUGUCACGUCGUCUGUGAAAACCCGAGGCUUAACCUCGGGCCUGCAGGCGAUACGGGCAGACUUGAGUACUGUAGGGGAGACUGGAAUUCCUGGUGUAGCGGUGCGAAUGCGCAGAUAUCAGGAGGAACACCGGUGGCGAAGGCGGGUCUCUGGGCAGUAACUGACGCUGAGGAGCGAAAGCGUGGGUAGCGAACAGGAUUAGAUACCCUGGUAGUCCACGCCGUAAACGGUGGGUACUAGGUGUGGGUUUCCUUCCACGGGAUCCGUGCCGUAGCUAACGCAUUAAGUACCCCGCCUGGGGAGUACGGCCGCAAGGCUAAAACUCAAAGGAAUUGACGGGGGCUCGCACAAGCGGCGGAGCAUGUGGAUUAAUUCGAUGCAACGCGAAGAACCUUACCUGGGUUUGACAUAUAGAGGAUCGCCGGAGAGAUUCGGUUUGCCUUGUGCCUUCUAUACAGGUGGUGCAUGGCUGUCGUCAGCUCGUGUCGUGAGAUGUUGGGUUAAGUCCCGCAACGAGCGCAACCCUUGUCUCAUGUUGCCAGCACGUAAUGGUGGGGACUCGUGAGAGACUGCCGGGGUCAACUCGGAGGAAGGUGGGGAUGACGUCAAGUCAUCAUGCCCCUUAUGUCCAGGGCUUCACACAUGCUACAAUGGCGCGUACAGAGGGCUGCGAUACCGUGAGGUGGAGCGAAUCCCUUAAAGCGCGUCUCAGUUCGGAUUAGGGGUCUGCAACUCGACCCCAUGAAGUCGGAGUCGCUAGUAAUCGCAGAUCAGCAACGCUGCGGUGAAUACGUUCCCGGGCCUUGUACACACCGCCCGUCACGUCAUGAAAGUCGGUAACACCCGAAGCCGGUGGCCUAACCCCUUGUGGGAGGGAGCUGUCGAAGGUGGGAUUGGCGAUUGGGACGAAGUCGUAACAAGGUAGCCGUACCGGAAGUGCGCUGGAUCACCUCCUU
rnacentral:rRNA from 1 species